CAGGGCCUCCCCAGAACGACUGCCCCAUGUCCAGCCUGUAUCUCCUGAGUGCCAUGCUGCACUGGGGAGGGACAGGGCUGGCUCGGGGCUCCAGGAAAGAUGCCUCACAUGUGCCUAGAAAUGUAGGCGUCAAGGGAAGGCUGUGUGUGGGGGCACCUGAGGGGCUGGGCUUCCCAGGCAUCUGAGCUCUUACGGAGCCCUAAUAGGCACAUCCCCAAAUGGUUGUAUGAGGAUGAGCACAAAAAUAUCAGAUGGGGUCACCCUCACCCUCCACUGACAAUGGACUGGGAUCCGACUCAUGCAACAUUCCUUCUGGGCCGUAGGUUCCACAUCCAUGGGUUAGGUGUGCUGGCCUGGAGCCCGCCGGCCCCGGUCCCCACCGCACAAGGACCCCAUCACAAGUGGGGGUCAUACUUUUCCUCCAGAAACGGAUUAAGCAACCAGCAUGUGAACCUUACGCUCUGUUUACAGGCUGAGUCCCCACAGCUCUUCCAGCUUCAGCCAGGCCAGGGUCACCUUCAGAUUGAAUGUGCAGGGCCCCUGAGGACUCAUGUCCUGAGAUGGCCCUUCUUCCUGGGAUGGGACCCCCGGGUUCAGGUGAGAGGUGUUCCCGGGCCCCUUCACCUGGGGCUCAGGUGAGAGCAGGUGUUCCCGGGCCCCUUCACCUGGGGCUCAGGUGAGAGCAGGUGUUCCCGGGCCCCUUCACCUGGGGCUCAGGUGAGAGCAGGUGUUCCGGGCCCCUUCACCUGGGGCUCAGGUGAGAGCAGGUGUUCUGGGCCCCUGCAUCUGAGGCCUGGGAGUUGACCCCGACUUCCUGGCCCCAGAAAGAAAAGGGAAAACACAGAGAUCACAGGAGAAGGGACACAAGCGGGGAGGGUCGCAGGCUGCCCCAAAGCCCAGCUCCAGGCUCAGGAAAGCCCCUCCCCACUCACCCCUUCCGGAGGGCCUGGGUCUGCGGAGGAACGGGGCUUAGGGGGUCUCCGAGGGUUAGAGUGCUCCAGGCUCGGGUGGGGAGGAGGAAGAUGUUUUCGGGUGCUGAGGGCCUCCUGCGUUGGGCCCAGA
rnacentral:lncRNA from 1 species